GCCCCAGGAUGGUUCAGUCGGUAGAGCUUGAGACUCUUCAUCCCAUGAACGUGGGCUUGAGCCCCACAUUGGGCA